AUACGGAGGGUGCAAGCGUUACGCGGAAUCACUGGGCGUAAAGCGCGCGCAGGCGGCUAUUUAAGUUGGAUGUGAAAGCCUACGGCUCAACCGUAGAACUGCAUCCAAAACUAUUUAGCUAGAGUGUGAGAGAGGAAGAUGGAAUUAGUUGUGUAGGGGUAAAAUCCGUAGAGAUAACUAGGAAUACCAAAAGCGAAGGCAAUCUUCUGGAACACUACUGACGCUGAGGCGCGAAAGCGUGGGGAGCAAACAGAAUUAGAAACCCUUGUAGUCC
rnacentral:rRNA from 1 species